UACGAAGGGGGCUAGCGUUGCUCGGAAUCACUGGGCGUAAAGCGCACGUAGGCGGAUUGUUAAGUCAGGGGUGAAAUCCCGGAGCUCAACUCCGGAACUGCCUUUGAUACUGGCAAUCUUGAGGCUGGAAGAGGUUGGUAGAAUUCCCAGUGUAGAGGUGAAAUUCGUAGAUAUUGGGAAGAAUACCAGUGGCGAAGGCGGCCAACUGGUCCAGAUCUGACGCUGAGGUGCGAAAGCGUGGGGAGCAAACAGG
rnacentral:rRNA from 1 species